rnacentral:rRNA from 1 species
CCUACGGGAGGCAGCAGUGGGGAAUAUUGCUCAAUGGGGGAGACCCUGAAGCAGCAACGCCGCGUGAGGGAAGAAGGUUUUCGGUAUGGAAAGCCCUUUUUGUCGGGAAGAAAAUGACGGUACCUGACUAAGAAGCACCGUCGAACUACGUGCCAGCAGCCGCGGGAAUACGGAGGGUGCAAGCGUUAUACGGAGUUAGUGGGCGUAAAGGGGGCGUAGGCGGGAUAACAAGUCCGAAGGGAAAUUCUAGGGGUUAAACCCAGAACUGCUGUUGAAACUGUGAAGCUAGAGUGUGGGAGAGGUAGGUGGAAUGCGUGGUGUAGCGGUGAAAUGCGUAGAUAUCAGGAGGAACACCAAUUGCGAAGGCGGCUUACCGGAACGUAACUGACGCUGAGGCGCGAAAGCGUGGGGAGCAAACAGGAUUAGAUACCCGAGUAGUC